rnacentral:rRNA from 1 species
UCGGAUUGUAGUCUGCAACUCGACUACAUGAAGCUGGAAUCGCUAGUAAUCGCGAAUCAGAAUGUCGCGGUGAAUACGUUCCCGGGUCUUGUACAUACCGCCCGUCACACCAUGGGAGUCGGAUAUGCCCGAAGUCAGUGACCCAACCUUUUGGAGGGAGCUGCCGAAGGUGGAGCCGAUAACUGGGGUGAAGUCGUAACAAGGUAUC